GUCUUUGUGGUGUAGUUGUGAGCACGCUGGGCGCGUAUUCCAGAAGCCCGUGGUUCGAGUCCUGACGAAGGCG
rnacentral:tRNA from 1 species